rnacentral:rRNA from 1 species
UGAGUAAUGUCUGGGAAACUGCCUGAUGGAGGGGGAUAACUACUGGAAACGGUAGCUAAUACCGCAUAACGUCGCAAGACCAAAGAGGGGGACCUUCGGGCCUCUUGCCAUCAGAUGUGCCCAGAUGGGAUUAGCUAGUAGGUGGGGUAAUGGCUCACCUAGGCGACGAUCCCUAGCUGGUCUGAGAGGAUGACCAGCCACACUGGAACUGAGACACGGUCCAGACUCCUACGGGAGGCAGCAGUGGGGAAUAUUGCACAAUGGGCGCAAGCCUGAUGCAGCCAUGCCGCGUGUGUGAAGAAGGCCUUCGGGUUGUAAAGCACUUUCAGCGAGGAGGAAGGUGGUGAGCUUAAUACGCUCAUCAAUUGACGUUACUCGCAGAAGAAGCACCGGCUAACUCCGUGCCAGCAGCCGCGGUAAUACGGAGGGUGCAAGCGUUAAUCGGAAUUACUGGGCGUAAAGCGCACGCAGGCGGUCUGUUAAGUCAGAUGUGAAAUCCCCGGG